rnacentral:lncRNA from 1 species
ACUCCGGAAACGCAGCCUCCCCGGCUGCGGCGCAGGGCCCCCGGACCCUGCGGAACCUGGGCUGAAGCGAAAAAGCCAGCGGAAGGAACCCGGGAAAAAACAAGAAACCCAUUCCAUCCUCCUUUCCAGGCCUUCGCCCGCCCGAGACCCGCCGUCUCCCGGAGUUGGCCAAGUGGCUGGAAGUCCACCUACAAUGGGCAUGCCGUCCUGGAACAUCUCUCUUCUCUAUCUUGGAUUCGGUUCUAUGACGGAGUCUUACUGUAGCACCCAGGCUGGAGUGCAGGAGCACGACCUCGGCUUACUGCAACCUCGACCUCCUGGACUCAAGUGAUUCUCCUGCCUCAGCCUCCCAAGUUGCUGGGAUUACAGGCUCACGUCACCACACCUGGUCCCCCUAUGUUAUUGGGGACAGAAUUGUGCCCAGACAAGAAAAUGAUGUUUCCCAGCCUCCCCUGCAGCUGAGUGGGGACAACCAUUGAGAUGCCGUUGCAGGGCUCCGCUUUGGAGCGGGCAUUGGAGGAAUUCUUUGACCACCAAGCAGCCUCCAUACCUCCCUCCUACAUAACAGAGCCACCGAGAGGCUGUUUGCAUUCUGCCUGCUUUCUCUUUUUCCGUUGCAGUAGUUUAUUAAUUAGUGUGCAAAAAAUAAAAAGGAGGUAAUAACCUUAUUUAUGUGCUAGU